rnacentral:rRNA from 1 species
CGAACGGGUGAGUAAUACAUCGGAACGUGCCCAGUAGUGGGGGAUAACCCGGCGAAAGCCGGACUAAUACCGCAUACGACCUACGGGUGAAAGCAGGGGAUCGCAAGACCUUGCGCUAUUGGAGCGGCCGAUGUCAGAUUAGCUUGUUGGCGGGGUAAAAGCCCACCAAGGCGACGAUCUGUAGCUGGUCUGAGAGGACGACCAGCCACACUGGGACUGAGACACGGCCCAG